rnacentral:rRNA from 1 species
UACGUAGGGUGCGAGCGUUGUCCGGAAUUAUUGGGCGUAAAGGGCUCGUAGGCGGUUUGUCGCGUCGGGAGUGAAAUCCACUGGCUUAACUGGUGGCUUGCUUUCGAUACGGGCAGACUGGAGGUAUGCAGGGGAGAACGGAAUUCCUGUGUAGCGGUGAAAUGCGCAGAUAUCAGGAGGAACACCGGUGGCGAAGGCGGUUCUCUGGGCAUGUCCUGACGCUGAGGAGCGAAAGUGUGGGGAGCGAACAGG